rnacentral:rRNA from 1 species
AACGAACGCUGGCGGCAUGCCUAACACAUGCAAGUCGAACGAAGCCUUCGGGCUUAGUGGCGCACGGGUGCGUAACGCGUGGGAAUCUGCCCUUGGGUUCGGAAUAACAGUUAGAAAUGACUGCUAAUACCGAAUGAUGUCUUCGGACCAAAGAUUUAUCGCCCAAGGAUGAGCCCGCGUCGGAUUAGCUAGUUGGUGAGGUAAAGGCUCACCAAGGCGACGAUCCGUAGCUGGUCUGAGAGGAUGAUCAGCCACACUGGGACUGAGACACGGCCCAGACUCCAACGGGAGGCAGCAGUGGGGAAUAUUGGACAAUGGGCGAAAGCCUGAUCCAGCAAUGCCGCGUGAGUGAUGAAGGCCUUAGGGUUGUAAAGCUCUUUUACCCGGGAUGAUAAUGACAGUACCGGGAGAAUAAGCCCCGGCUAACUCCGUGCCAGCAGCCGCGGUAAU